AUGAAAUCAAUUCACUAGGCAUUCACAUGCCCUGAGGUUGUUUCAGUUCAGUUGAUGGAUGAAGAUGAAGAUGUACCGGACAGAGCACAGGGUAGCAUUUUUGAGGUGAAAAGUAGUGAAAAUAAAAAACCAUUGGAGAAUUUGAUGUUCAGGUACUGAGAGCAAAUGAACCAAAAUGUGAGAUGAAACUCGAGAUUCACUAAUUAAAGUCAAGAAAUAGUUUAGCAAGGUGGAGGUUGUUAGUAAUAAUGGGCUGCUUCACUAUUACUUGAUGGCCCAAAAAGAAAUCCACUGAAUGGAUUUCGACCAUUAUUAUUAACGGGUUGAUAAAACGUGUCUUUGUGAAAUGCGAUUUUAUGCCUCCUUAUGGGCGGGGAUCUGCCGUCAACGUGGCUUCAUCCCAACCCUUGGAUUGUGGUAGUUGACUGAUCAGAUAUUUAUCUUGAUUUUGGCUCUCAUUCUGGACGCUUCGUUUUAUUCUGUCAUUUUGCCUCUUCUAUUCUUCUCUGAGUUAGAGACUAGGGUUUCUACUUUUCUCUGAAUAUUGAAAAUGUUCUUCGUGGUCUUCUCAAUCUGUAUACUUUGUGAUAUUUUAGAUUGUUGUGUACAAUCUGUGAGUGAUUAAGAGUUUUGUAGUUAGGUUUUUUAAAGGAGACGAAAGGGAUAUCAAAGAA